UUUUUUUUUUGAAUUAACUAAUCUUUAUAAUUAUAUUUGGAGUAAAAGUUGGGUACCGAGCUACCAAAUUACAGAAUAAAAGUAGUGCUAGAAAAAAUUAAAAAAAAAUCUGCCACGAGCCUUGGUGGAGAUAGAGAGUUGUUCUAUGCACUUCAAGACAUUUUGUUUUUAAUUUUAUUGGUUGCAUGUGUACUUGGGUUUAUCCAUUUUAAAAAAAAUCUGCAUGAUUAUUAAACACUCUGUACGGAAUGAAAUAUUUUUAUUUGUGAUGGUCCUGAGGGACAGCAUAACCUCAGGUGUUAUACUGUGUUUCGUGGUGGUAGCCGCCGUCGUGAGCACGUGCUCUCCUCCUCCUCUCUCUCUCUCUUUCUCUCUCUCUCUCUAUACCUCUAUUUAACUUUGCACCGUCAAAUCAAACCCCACGGAUACGAUUCGAUCCUCCGGUCCCAUCAAAUUCAUGUGGGCCCCA
rnacentral:lncRNA from 1 species